rnacentral:rRNA from 1 species
UACGAAGGGGGCUAGCGUUGCUCGGAAUCACUGGGCGUAAAGGGUGCGUAGGCGGGUCUUUAAGUCAGGGGUGAAAUCCUGGAGCUCAACUCCAGAACUGCCUUUGAUACUGAGGAUCUUGAGUACGGGAGAGGUGAGUGGAACUGCGAGUGUAGAGGUGAAAAUUCGUAGAUAUUCGCAAGAACACCAGUGGCGAAGGCGGCUCACUGGCCCGUAACUGACGCUGAGGCACGAAAAGCGUGGGGGAGCAAACAGG